rnacentral:SRP_RNA from 1 species
GCCGGGCGUGGUGGCGGGCGCCUGUAGUCCCAGCUACUUGGGAGGCUGAGGCAGGAGAAUAGCUUGAACCCAGGAGGCAGAGGUUGCAGUGAGCCGAGAUCACGCCACUGCAGUCCAGCCUGGGCAACACAGUGAGACUCUGUCUCAA